GUUUAGACCCUGCGAGCUGAUCAGACCUGCAGCCCCCCUCCCUCCCCCACACACCCCCUCAAAGACACACAUGAGUAGUGAUGGGAACAUCAGCAUGGCUGUGCAAGAAGAAAAGCGUGUCUUUGUGUUAUUACUGGAAUACGCUUUGUAGCUAGUGUUUUGCCAUGAUCCCAGUGACACUUAAGGACUUGACUGUUUUUCAAAGAGCAGCUUGACGAUCAAAUGGUCACCUGCUACCCUCAGAUGGGGACUUUACAUUUUGAAUAAUGACAAACCAUGGAAGGAAUCUAAAAUGGAGAUUCCGUCUUUGGUCCAAUUGCAUGAACAUCAGUCUUGGGCCGAUUUACGAUCGCACAAAUUAAAACUGCCUCCAGAAGGGGCGACUUCAGUGUGUGAUGGCCAGGAUGGUCAUCUCAGUGAUGGAGCUAAAAGGACGUUUUUUAAGAAGACAGAGGAUCCAUUCAUCCAUAUGGGCGCAGUGUGUCUUCAAGAGCCUGAACGAGUGUCCUUCACAUCUGGAGAAGCAUCUACUGCUCAGUGCAUUGAAACUACUAAGUCCAAAUCAGACAUUUGUGAAAGUCGACCCCAUCCUUCUUCAAUGUCCAAUGGCUCCAUUGUCAAUCCCCACCUCGUCCCUAAACCCUUCCUGAGAAUCCUGAGCCCACUGACCAUAGUAAAGUGCAAACAGAGCUGCAUCAGCUUUUCUGACUACUGCUGCCCGUCCAAGUGUGACAUCUACACGUUUAUCCCUGAGGAGAGCUCAGAACAAGAGGAAUCAUCACAUAAAGAGGAGAAAAAGGAGCAAAAUGGUCUCAGGGAUGGGGAUGAUCCUUCCUCAGUGUUACCUCGUAAUGGAGAUCUUCACCUACGAGGGAAGAGGAAAAACAAAGAGAGGAGAAGGAAUAAAGGUCCAGCGUGUGCAAAAACCAAAAGGAAACACACACACAGCAAGAGCGACAGUGGUGAUGAAGCACGGAGGGAAACCAGCAGUUAUGAGGUGCCUCUUCUAAACAAGUCUCCCUGGUCUGAGUCAGUGAGCCAGGUGAUGAAGAAGCUGGACCUGCUUAAUCUGGAC
rnacentral:lncRNA from 1 species